rnacentral:rRNA from 1 species
GACGAACGCUGGCGGCGUGCUUAACACAUGCAAGUCGAACGGAAAGGCCCUGCUUUUGUGGGGUGCUCGAGUGGCGAACGGGUGAGUAACACGUGAGUAACCUGCCCUUGACUUUGGGAUAACUUCAGGAAACUGGGGCUAAUACCGGAUAGGAGCUCCUGCUGCAUGGUGGGGGUUGGAAAGUUUCGGCGGUUGGGGAUGGACUCGCGGCUUAUCAGCUUGUUGGUGGGGUAGUGGCUUACCAAGGCUUUGACGGGUAGCCGGCCUGAGAGGGUGACCGGCCACAUGGGAACUGAGAUACGGCCCAGACUCCUACGGGAGGCAGCAGUGGGGAAUAUUGCACAAUGGGCGGAAGCCGGAUGCAGCAACGCCGCGUGCGGGAUGACGGCCUUCGGGUUGUAAACCGCUUUCGCCUGUGACGAAGCGUGAGUGACGGUAAUGGGUAAAGAAGCACCGGCUAACUACGU